AACGAACGCUGGCGGCAGGCCUAAUACAUGCAAGUCGAACGGAUGUAGCAAUACAUUAGUGGCGCACGGGUGCCUAACGCGUGGGAACAUACCCUUGAGUAAGGAAUAAUGUCUGGAAACGGACACUAAUACCUUAUAAUGACUUCGGUCCAAAGAUUUAUCGCUCAAGGAUUGGCCCGCGUCUGAUUAGCUAGUUGGUGAGGUAACGGCUCACCAAGGCGACGAUCAGUAGCUGGUCUGAGAGGAUGAUCAGCCACACUGGGACUGAGACACGGCCCAGACUCCUACGGGAGGCAGCAGUAAGGAAUAUUGGACAAUGGGGGAAACCCUGAUCCAGCCAUGCCGCGUGAGUGAAGAAGGCCUUAGGGUUGUAAAGCUCUUUCAAUAGUGAAGAUAAUGACGGUAGCUAUAGAAGAAGCCCCGGCUAAAUUCGUGCCAGCCGCCGCAGUAA
rnacentral:rRNA from 1 species